rnacentral:rRNA from 1 species
UACGUAGGGGGCAAGCGUUGUCCGGAUUCAUUGGGCGUAAAGAGCGUGUAGGCGGCCAGGUAGGUCGGUUGUGAAAACUGGAGGCUCAACCUUCAGAGGUCGACCGAAACCAUCUGGCUAGAGUCCGGGAGAGGAGAGUGGAAUUCCUGGUGUAGCGGUGAAAUGCGCAGAUAUCAGGAAGAACACCUAUGGCGAAGGCAGCUCUCUGGGACGGUACUGACGCUGAGAGCGAAAGCGUGGGGAGCGAACAGG